CACUUAUCGGUUUGUUUGAUGUUACAGCCAAGGGUCUGUAGCUCAGGUGGUUAGAGCACCGUCUUGAUAAGGCGGGGGUCGUAGGUUCGAGUCCUACCAGACCCACCAAGUUACGGGCGGCGGAGAGCGAUCUUGCCGUGAACUGGGGGAUUAGCUCAGCUGGGAGAGCACCUGCUUUGCAAGCAGGGGGUCGUCGGUUCGAUCCCGUCAUCCUCCACCAACACCUUGUGGUAGCCAAACGCAAGCAUCGAGAGAUCGGUGUUUGCGUUUGGCAUUGCCAAGACGAGUAGUAACUCGGCUGUUCUUUAACAAUAUGGAAUGUAGUAAAGGUGUCGCGGCGCGUUGAUGAGGCGCGCAAUUUAAACGCGACACUGGGUUGUGAUUGUAUCAACCAGUAUUACGAGUGAUCGAAAGACCGCUUGGAAUACGGCACAACGCGAGAACUCAGCCUAUAGCGAGACAUACUCGUUAUAGGGUCAAGCGAAUAAGUGCAUGUGGUGGAUGCCUUGGCGAUCACAGGCGAUGAAGGACGUAGUAGCUUGCGAAAAGCUGCGGGGAGCUGGCAAACGAGCUUUGAUCCGCAGAUGUCCGAAUGGGGAAACCCGGCCCGUAUGGGUCAUCCCUUGCUGAAUACAUAGGCAAGGGAGGCGAACGCAGUGAACUGAAACAUCUAAGUAGCUGCAGGAAAAGAAAUCAACCGAGAUUCCCAGAGUAGUGGCGAGCGAAAUGGGAACAGCCUUGUACUCUUUAGCAGUAUUGUUAGCGGAACGGAAUGGAAAGUCCGGCCAUAGUGGGUGAUAGCCCCGUACGCGAAAACAGUAUUGUGGAACUAGGUGUACGACAAGUAGGGCGGGACACGUGAAAUCCUGUCUGAAGAUGGGGGGACCAUCCUCCAAGGCUAAAUACUCGUGAUCGACCGAUAGUGAACCAGUACCGUGAGGGAAAGGCGAAAAGAACCCCGGGAGGGGAGUGAAAUAGAUCCUGAAACCGCAUGCAUACAAACAGUCGGAGCCUGGAAACGGGUGACGGCGUACCUUUUGUAUAAUGGGUCAGCGACUUACAUUCAGUGGCAAGCUUAACCGAUUAGGGAAGGCGUAGCGAAAGCGAGUCCGAAUAGGGCGUUCAGUCGCUGGGUGUAGACCCGAAACCAAGUGAUCUAUCCAUGGCCAGGUUGAAGGUGCGGUAACACGUACUGGAGGACCGAACCCACUAACGUUGAAAAGUUAGGGGAUGAGCUGUGGAUAGGGGUGAAAGGCUAAACAAACUUGGAAAUAGCUGGUUCUCUCCGAAAACUAUUUAGGUAGUGCCUCGUGUCUCACCUUCGGGGGUAGAGCACUGUCAUGGUUGGGGGGUCUAUUGCUGAUUACCCCGCCAUAGCAAACUCCGAAUACCGAAGAGUGCAAUCACGGGAGACAGACAUCGGGUGCUAACGUCCGGUGUCAAGAGGGAAACAACCCAGACCGCCAGCUAAGGUCCCUAAGAUUGGCUAA
rnacentral:sRNA from 1 species